rfam:Triticum aestivum genome assembly, contig: Triticum_aestivum_CS42_TGACv1_scaffold_374714_5AL
CUUGUACUCCCUCCGUCCGGAAAUAUUUGUCAUCAAAAUGAAUAAAUGGAGAUGUAUCUAGACGUAUUUUAGUUCUAGAUACAUCCCUUUUUAUUCAUUUUGAUGACAAAUAUUUUCGGACGGAGGGACUAGUAU